AGGGAUACGGUCCAGGGAUGCUGGGGGCACUUAGUGAUUGCUGGCCCAUGAAGCUCCCGCCCACUUUGUGUGAUAGGCAGGCAGCUCCUGGAAUUUCCAACAGCCCUGGACCCCACCUGUGGCGGUCUGCCCUUCCCAGGGUGCCUGUUCCCUGCAGGCAGGGCAGCCCUGGGAGGGUAAAAAUGUGACUGGCAGAGGGAAGAGACCCCCACACUUCUGCACAGGUCUCAGCCUGAGUGCACUCACCACAGUGAGGGAGCUCUGGCUACCCAGGCCUUGCGGGGAGAGGAGAGGAGGCCUGGCCCAGUGCCCUUCCAGCCCAACGCGAUGCCCCUCCUCCUGCUGGACAUUGCCCCCUCCCCCACCUCAACAGCUGCUCCUGCAGAGCCUGGGUGGGCAAAAAUUCCCACGGUGCUCCCAGCUGACUGGGGGCCUCCCUGUGUCUCCCCCAUUUCUAUUCUCUUUUCCCCAGGCCCAUCACAGGGGGUAGCUCUGAAUUCCCAGCCUGAUGGGGACCCACGGCCCCUCGGGCAGCCUGGAACCCACAGCGGGUGCCAGCUUGGACACCUGCCCUCCUCGCCUUCGUCAGCAUCAGGAUGGCUUUGUCAGCACCACGUGGCAAGAGGGAUGAGCUGAACUUCUCGGCCAGCCUUCCAGGCUUGGCUUGGACUCAUCAUCACUAUCAUCACCAUCAAUGGCUGAGCCCUCACUGUGCUUCCUGGGAGCUGGGCUCAGCUUCCCGCCUCCACGGGCAGUACAGGAGGAAACAGAGUCACCUGUCAGGAUCAUGUGGAAAGAGGCCAAGGGUGGAUUUAACCCAGAGAGAGGGAAACCAACAUCUUCGACAAACAAGGUCCUGAAGCAUGAGCACUGUUUGGUCCGAGGAAGGGGACAGAACAAGCAGUGGGAGUAAGAUACCCGGAGCAGGUGCCUGCGGUUCCGUCCUAAGGAAAUCAGGUCGUAUAAGUUGGGAGGGAGACGGGGAGAGAUCUGACGACUAAUUUCAGUGCAAGGGGAGAUUUCAAAGCCUUGAGAAGAGAACACCACAAUGCAGCGAGCGGAGAGGGCGGGGAGCAGGCUCUGAAAGGGAGGUGGAAGUGGCGCCGAGCUCGUGUACAGCACUUUGCAAGGACAUCACUAGACAAGUAAUACACACAUGGCUUGCGGGAGGUCAAGGGCGGCGAGGGGGCUGGGCAGGGGACAUUUUUGUGACUUCCACUGUUAUAUUUCACGACAACAGCAGCAGGACAAAUGGUGUGCUCACCACUGGAGAAUGAGAGCUGCUGAGUCUUGAGGAUGGCGAGACAGCCUUUCCUGCAUUUGCUGCUUUAGUUUCUGCUUUAGAGCUAAGUUUUAUACAGAGAAUAAAAUGACCAUCUUCUCUUACAAACACGAUGACGUAUGACCCCACAUGACACAAAAUAAGGUAUUAUGAAGUAUCUGAAACUGAGGAUAAUCUGACUGAAGAUGCUUGCCGAGAGGGUACAGGGUCUGUGUGAAUCCAAUGGGCCAAGAACCUUCUCCACAGCCACAGCCCUCUGUUCAGGUACCUCCAGAACCCAUCUGUUCUGGUUCAUUCCUGACCCUUGAACAAAGGCUGACUAGGGAAAAUGAGCUGUUGGGGUGAUGCCUGGGGACAGAAGGGCCUGGGCCACAGGCUCCGGACUGUUUUUCCAAAGAGAUGGAGGCUCCCAGCGGGAGUUUGCUUCUCACCUGUCGGGGCACUGUGACUUAGACUGGAGGACUUCCCUCAGGAUCACAGCGCUGUGGACACAGGCCGGGGAGGAGGCAGUUACGGGCUGUGGAGGAGGACGCUGGCCUGGCUUCGUGCGGACACCCCAGCCUCCACCCACAGCCACACCACUGGGGGCAUGAGACACUGGGAAAGGCAAAGAGGUCUGUUCCACCUCGGACCUCCUGAGAUGUCCCGAUUGUCACCUCCCAGGUUAUUUGGAUGAGAGCAGGCACUGAGGGGUAGAGACUGGAAUGAAGAUAACAGAUUAGUCCUCAGUGUGAAAUACUCCAAGAACACAGGCAUCUCUAUGAUUCUCAACAAGGACAGGAACAACCCCAAACAAAGUUUUAAAAAUACCCACAUUUCUACCGUUCCAUACCCAAGCAAUGUGCACAUGUCACCCAGGGUUAUGUACAAGGUCACAAAUCUUAAAUAACGGGGAGGAGGCAUCCAUUCAUCCUAACAGUCCAGAAACUUCUCCUGCUGCACACCAACUGCACAUGAACUUCUCCUUUCAGGAUACAUAUGUAAGAUACUCUUUUAAAAAAACACAAUGCAUGAUUUUCUUUUGUUUCAAACAAGAAGAGGGCAUCACUGAACACGAGAACGCAGCGGCAACAGUGCCGGCCAGGGCGUGCAGGGCUGGGGAGGCAAAGGACGCAAAGGAACCGAGGCGGGCGGUGGUGGGAAGCUGUGGACCGCUGUGGGAUGGGGCGUGUUUGGAGGGGCGACUUAUUUUUUUAACUGCUUAUUUCUUCAUCUGUUUUAUUCAGUUUCUUCAGCGUGUCCAGCAGUUUCUGUGGGGUGAGGAUGUGCGUGGAUCCUGGAGGAGGCAGAGAAGACAGUGAGCUUGCCAGUUCUGGUUUCUAACACUUUUCCUUUCCUGCGCUUCUCGACUGCCAGAUCUGCACCCACCCCCCUCCCCCACCCUGGUCUGGGUCUAGUGGAAGCAGGGAGGGGAGCGGGGGUUGGGAUUGGGGUCCCGUUGCAAUAGGCCUGGGAAAUAUUCGGGGGCUGUGGAUAAACAAAACACAUCCUCUGGCUCAGGCAAGGUCCCAGGCUGCACCAAGGAACGAGCCGCCUCGCCAUCAGGGUGCAGAGCCAUCUACAGGUGAUGGGCAGUUGCAUUUCUAAUUCACUCUUAAACUCCAAGUGAAGCCGGGGAGAGAAAUUCCAAACAUGGCAAGGGGGAAAGGUUGAAAAUGGAGCCAGAGUUGGUAGGGGGACCAUGUGUGGAAAGCACGGUGCCUGGGAGAGGAUGCUGACAGGCAAAGCCCCCUGGGAGAAUCCACUGACCUCUGGGAGCCAGCCAGUUGGUACUGCCCUGGUGGGUGGGACCUCAGGUGUGAGAGGGAAAGGGCCAGGGGACCUGAGGCCUUACCUUGCAGAGACCGCGUAUUGUAAGAGAUUAGAAAUGCUUGCAAAAAUUUAAGCUAAUGGAAUUAGAUAUACUUCUACUGCAAAAAUAAAAAUAAAAAUAAAUGAAAGUCUUUUUCAUAAGGAGAGAGAGACAGAUCUAGUAAGUGCAGUAAAAAAAGAUGCAUGGGUCGUGUGGUUUGGACAUGGACUUAAACAGAACAGAGGUGACUGGGGUGGUGUGUGGGUGAGCAUGAGGCCUGCACACAUGCAGCAGUGCGCUUCAAAGAAAGGUCCUGGUGGGAGAGAAGAACGGAACAAAAGAGACCCGUACUUGAAAAUGUGCCUCCCUGGAGACGUGGCAAAGGAAUGGGCCUUCAUGGGAGCAGAAACCACUGGAUGCCAGAUUUCCACCUCAAGGGCAGGAAAAGAAGGCUUUGGCUGGCUCAUUGGGCAUGACUCCAAUACCAGGGUCCCUAUGCAUUUGACCGCUGACUACUCGCUCAGCUGACCCAAGACUGCUGGAACUGCAGCCCUUCCUGGUCACUCCAGACUAGCAGAAACUUGGAAAGCCCUCUCUGUUCUUCCAACAUUCCCUUCUCUGCAGUUCAGGCCCCAGCUGCCCACUCCUGGCUGAGCAAGGAACUUGUCCUCAGAUGGAUGCCCUGUGCAUGCGGCCUGCAGGGGCCCUGUGCUGGAAAGCUGACUCAUUAUUCUGCAGACCCGAGGCUCCUUCAGCAAAUGCGAUGCAGGUUUCAGGAGUGUGUCCCUGGGCUUCUUUAUAGCACUCCUUUCCCCUGAAGUCCACUCAUUUCUGUGACCUUACCACUCCUCCUGCUUGUCCUAAAAGAGGCCAAAGGCUGAUGUACAAAUGAGAAGCAAGGACGCACAUUACAAGGCUUGCCCCAGACUCUGAAGAGUGAACCAUUGCCAGGAUGGGGGGCCUCCAAAUUGCAACUCCAUGUAGCCCACGUGUCCAAAUGCUGAAAGACGGCCUGUCCUGCAGAGUGUGGGGAUUCGCUUGGGAGCUUCCUCGUUAAAGGCAACAGCAAGGAGCGCAUGUGCCAGAGAAAACAUCCCCGAGGCCCUCCUUAGCCAUCCAAAUGACUCCAGGAAAUAACAGGGCAGACUCAUCUUACAGGAUGCAUCUGAAGGAGUUCCUCUGAUCAGAUGCUGAUUCCAAAGUCCUCCCUGUCCUUGCUGAUAUGUAAAUCUAGGAUUUGGGGGAGGUCAGACAGAGGUUAGGGAAUUAAUGCACUAGAAGUCUCAUAUUAUCUAAUCACUGACCAUUCAUUGCUCCCAGUCUUGACUGAAGAACAAUUCUAGGACUGAGUACUGGAGACAAUCAGUGAAGCCUAGGCAACAGGCAUGGGCCUAGAACUUCACCUGUGUAGUUUCUUUAAGGGAACCAGACUAGCUGGUGUAAAUGCUGACCAUUAGAAAGCCAAUUCUUCACACUCGAUCAUCCGUGUUGUUUUAAUAAAUUGGUCAAGCUUCUCACCACUAUAAACAUUGCAAAUUAAGCUGAGUGAGUCCAUCAUCCACAUUUUGCACACGUUCUCAUUUUGAAUCCACAGAUGACUGACCAUAUUGGUUUUCCAGAAUACAGCAGCAAGUGAGCUCUAUUGCUCUGAGGGUCUUAUUUAGUCCCUAUAACUGGAAGAUUAUGAAAUGUAAAAACUAAGUUGGUCUCUAAAAACUAAGUUGAGGCCCAUCCACAAUGACUGUGUACAUGUUUUCAAAGCUGUGGGCCAGACACAGCAAGCUCUGAUGGGACAAAAUCCUUCUUUCUAUGCGGACAGAAUCUGAAAACCGAAAGUGUUCUUGCAGGCUAGCUGGUCCAAUCAUUCUUGAGUUUGGCUGAAGCAGACCUACUGACUCAGAAUAUGCAGGGUGGCGCCAGAAAACGUGUACGUUUAAGAGCAGCCCAGCUGAGACCUACUGUGCUGAUCAAAUAUAACGCAAAGGAAAAUACUCUGCAAAGCAGCAGCUUGUUCUGAAGCAGGGAAGCCCAGAACUCAUCCUAGCAGGAGCUUUUGCAGUUUGAGCCUGUGAUUCUUUCAGAUGCUGCAAGUGGUCUGGUAUUGCUGCAGACUCGACUGAACAUUUGUCUUUCUAGAAGUCUUAAAAUACAUACUGCAGCAAAUCCAUCCACCUACCUGCAGUCUGCACACAGAACCAGAUGUCUCUGAUUUACAACCUAUCAAGGUGCUUCUAAGGAAUGUUUUUUUUUUUUUUUUAAAGAAUGGCUUCUAUUCACCACAUACUGGCCUUGCUUUAUAGGGACGGCCAGCCCAGGCAGGAUGGGAGCUAUAGCCCAGGGCUAUAACCAGGUCCACUUUCUGCUUUCCCAACUACUUUCAGUUCCUUAGCACACUGCUGCCCUGACGUUCAUGUCAAGGAAGGGAGAGAGGAGGAGAUAAGGAGUGUAGCCUUCUGUUCCUACCUUUAGGAGGAAGCAUCAUUUUCCUUACAUACACAAGCAGCUGCUGAUGCCACCUAGCCAAGGUUCUGAUGGGCCAUUCCCCUGAGGCUCACCAGAGAGUGAGAGAGUGGGCAGGACUGCAUGGUUUGAGGCACAAAUCGUAAUCACUGAAUGUGCAGAAUGUCAGAGGUCCUGCAUGCCUGGGGGCACUGCGAUCCAGCUUCCCUGUGCUCCUAUGCUAUGGCCGAGAGAGCGAGGGUAUCUUCCUACAGCCAUACCGGUGCCCAUGGAGGAGCUGGGGUAGAGGCCAGUCCUCCGGGCUCUGAGUCCAGGUCUCUCUCCACUGCUCAUGGGGGACUCAAGCUCUGUGACUCACUGGGCCACAUCUCAGCUCAGGUGAAGGGGCUUUUCAAGGGUCCAUUGUCAAUAAUAUACACAAAGUCAGGUACACAAAAUAUGGCCUCAUGACAGAAUGUAUAACAAGCUAAGGAGUCACCGAUGUGAUGAUGGAAGUCUGCCAUUUAAACACAUAGGAGGUUCCCAUCAUAUCUGAAGGAUGGAAAGACAGAGGAGGGAACGAGGACAAUUUUGAAGAUCAAAAUUUGGAUAGUCGGCUGUGCGCGGUGGCUCACGCCUAUAAUCCCAGCACUUUGGGAGGCUGAGGCACGCGGAUCACCCGAGGUUGGGAAUUUGAGACCAGCCUGACCAACAUGGAGAAA